rnacentral:sRNA from 1 species
UAAACGGAUGCGAUGACGACCGGCUGGCGU